rnacentral:rRNA from 1 species
AUACGGAGGGUGCAAGCGUUAAUCGGAAUUACUGGGCGUAAAGAGUACGUAGGCGGCCUACUAAGUCAGAUGUGAAAGCCCAGGGCUCAACCUUGGAACUGCAUUUGAAACUGGUAGGCUAGAGUAUGGUAGAGGGGGGUAGAAUUUCUGGUGUAGCGGUGAAAUGCGUAGAUAUCAGAAGGAAUACCAGUGGCGAAGGCGGCCCCCUGGCCCAAUACUGACGCUGAGGUACGAAAGCGUGGGUAGCGAACGGGAUUAGAAACCCGAGUAGUCC